GUGUCUCAGAGUCGGCUACACCCAAGUCAUGCUGACAUGUUAAUUCCCAAUAAAUCCUGUUUAAUUUUGGAAGUUUGGCUCGAGACUCAUGAUUUAAUUGGGGUAACUGAUGGAAUCCUGACACAUAUAGUACAUGGAUUAUAGAA